GACGAACGCUGGCGGCGUGCUUAACACAUGCAAGUCGAACGGAAAGGCCCUGCUUUUUUCUGGUUCUCGAGUUGCAAACGGGUGAGUAACCCAUGAGUAACCUUCCCUUGACUUUGGGAUAACUUCAGGCAACUGCUGCUAAUACCGGAUACGAGCUCCUGCUGCAUGGUGGGGUUUGGAACGUUUCGGCUGUUGUGGAUGUACUCGCGGCUUAUCAGCUUGUUGGUGGGGUAGUUGCUUACCAAGGCUUUGACGGGUAGCCGGCCUGAGAGGGUGACCGGCCACAUGGGGACUGAGAUACGGCCCAGACUCCUACGGGAGGCAGCAGGGGGGAAUAUGGUACAAUGGGCGGAAGCCUGAGGCAGCAACGUCGCGUGCGGGAUGACGGCCUUCGGGUGGUAAACCGCUUUCGCCUGUGACGAAGCGUGAGUGACGGUAAUGGGUAAAGAAGCACCGGCUAACUACGUG
rnacentral:rRNA from 1 species